AGCGAACGCUGGCGGCAGGCCUAACACAUGCAAGUCGAACGAAGUCUUCGGACUUAGUGGCGGACGGGUGAGUAACACGAGGGAACGUGCCUUUAGGUUCGGAAUAACCCAGGGAAACUUGUGCUAAUACCGAACGUGCCCUUCGGGGGAAAGAUUUAUCGCCUUUAGAGCGGCCCGCGUCUGAUUAGCUAGUUUGUGAGGUAAAGGCUCACCAAGGCGACGAUCAGUAGCUGGUCUGAGAUGGUGAUCAGCCACAUUGGGACUGAGACACGGCCCAAACUCCUACGGGAGGAAGCAGUGGGGAAUCUUGCGCAAUGGGCGAAAGCCUGACGCAGCCAUGCCGCGUGAAUGAUGAAGGUCUUAGGAUUGUAAAAUUCUUUCACCGGGGACGAUAAUGACGGUACCCGAAGAAGAAGCCCCGGCUAACGUCGUGCCAGCCGCCGCAGUAAAAC
rnacentral:rRNA from 1 species